rnacentral:rRNA from 1 species
UACGAAGGGGGCUAGCGUUGUUCGGAAUUACUGGGCGUAAAGCGCACGUAGGCGGGUCUGUAAGUAGAGGGUGAAAUCCCAGGGCUCAACCCUGGAACUGCCUUCUAGACUGCAGGCCUCGAGUGCGGGAGAGGCGAGUGGAAUUGCAGGUGUAGCGGUGAAAUUCGUAGAUAUUAGGAAGAACACCAGUGGCGAAGGCGGCUCACUGGUCCGGUACUGACGCUGAGGUGCGAAAGCGUGGGGAGCAAACAGG